rnacentral:rRNA from 1 species
UCCAGACUCCUACGGGAGGCAGCAGUGGGGGAUAUUGCACAAUGGGGGGAACCCUGAUGCAGCGACGCCGCGUGGGUGAAGAAGCGCCUCGGCGCGUAAAGCCCUGUCAGCAGGGAAGAAAAUGACGGUACCUGAAGAAGAAGCCCCGGCUAACUACGUGCCAGCAGCCGCGGUAAUACGUAGGGGGCAAGCGUUAUCCGGAUUUACUGGGUGUAAAGGGGGCGCAGACGGCGAUGCAAGCCAGGAGUGAAAGCCCGGGGCCCAACCCCGGGACUGCUCUUGGAACUGCGUGGCUGGAGUGCAGGAGGGGCAGGCGGAAUUCCUGGUGUAGCGGUGAAAUGCGUAGAUAUCAGGAGGAACACCGGUGGCGAAGGCAGCAUACCGGCUCCACACUGACGCUGAGGCACGAAAGCGUGGGUAUCGAACAGGAUUAGAUAUCCUCGUAUCA